UCUGAUUUCCGUGUCCAACGUUUGACUGUCCGUCUUAUUUAAAAAGAUUAUAAAAAAAAUUAAAAAGACAAGUCGCGUAUAAAAUAUUAAUCAUGUUUUAUCAUCUAACAACAAAUAAAAAUACGAAUUAUAAAAAAAUUUCAUAUAAGACGGACAGUAAAAAUUAGACAAAAAAAUUCAGGGUUUUACUUUUU
rnacentral:pre_miRNA from 1 species